rnacentral:tRNA from 1 species
GGAGGCGUGCCAGAGCGGUUGAAUGGGCCGGUCUCGAAAACCGGUUUGUCCGAAAGGGCAUCGGAGGUUCGAAUCCUACCGCCUCCG